GUAGGUGAACCUGCGGAAGGAUCAUUAACACUUUUUCCUUCACUGAUCUUGAGAUCGCUUCAUGCUAUGAAAGUAGUAUGAAACGGUUUUUAAGGUUGGAUUAACCCCCAAAUAUUGAUGAACCAUAGUUUUUUGGCAGCGUUUGUUUUCACAACAAAUACUGCUAAAAUUUUCUUUACAUCUAAAAACAAAAAAACUCCAUUGAAACAUUCGACUGAAAUUCUUUUUUUUCUCCUUCUCUCUUUUUUUCUUCACCGAAAAAAACCGACAGGGGAAAGAAAAACCACAAAAAACAAAAAAUUCGUUUUUUUGAAACAACUCUUAGCAACGGAUAUCUUGGCUCUC
rnacentral:misc_RNA from 1 species